rnacentral:rRNA from 1 species
AUAAUGGGUCAGCGACUUAUAUUCUGUAGCAAGGUUAACCGAAUAGGGGAGCCGAAGGGAAACCGAGUCUUAACUGGGCGUUAAGUUGCAGGGUAUAGACCCGAAACCCGGUGAUCUAGCCAUGGGCAGGUUGAAGGUUGGGUAACACUAACUGGAGGACCGAACCGACUAAUGUUGAAAAAUUAGCGGAUGACUUGUGGCUGGGGGUGAAAGGCCAAUCAAACCGGGAGAUAGCUGGUUCUCCCCGAAAGCUAUUUAGGUAGCGCCUCGUGAAUUCAUCUCCGGGGGUAGAGCACUGUUUCGGCAAGGGGGUCAUCCCGACUUACCAACCCGAUGCAAACUGCGAAUACCGGAGAAUGUUAUCACGGGAGACACACGGCGGGUGCUAACGUCCGUCGUGAAGAGGGAAACAACCCAGACCGCCAGCUAAGGUCCCAAAGUCAUGGUUAAGUGGGAAACGAUGUGGGAAGGCCCAGACAGCCAGGAUGUUGGCUUAGAAGCAGCCAUCAUUUAAAGAAAGCGUAAUAGCUCACUGGUCGAGUCGGCCUGCGCGGAAGAUGUAACGGGGCUAAACCAUGCACCGAAGCUGCGGCAGCGACACUGUGUGUUGUUGGGUAGGGGAGCGUUCUGUAAGCCUGCGAAGGUGUGCUGUGAGGCAUGCUGGAGGUAUCAGAAGUGCGAAUGCUGACAUAAGUAACGAUAAAGCGGGUGAAAAGCCCGCUCGCCGGAAGACCAAGGGUUCCUGUCCAACGUUAAUCGGGGCAGGGUGAGUCGACCCCUAAGGCGAGGCCGAAAGGCGUAGUCGAUGGGAAACAGGUUAAUAUUCCUGUACUUGGUGUUACUGCGAAGGGGGGACGGAGAAGGCUAUGUUGGCCGGGCGACGGUUGUCCCGGUUUAAGCGUGUAGGCUGGUUUUCCAGGCAAAUCCGGAAAAUCAAGGCUGAGGCGUGAUGACGAGGCACUACGGUGCUGAAGCAACAAAUGCCCUGCUUCCAGGA